CAGGGAGACAACAAAUGUUUAAUAUUAUUAUUUUGUCACCUUAGGUCGAUCGGUAUCUCGCGUUCUUAUUUAAUUAAGAAUUUCAUUUCCUAAGUUUUUCUAGGUCACACCCAUUAUUUUCCUGGGCCAUUAGCUCAGGUGGUUAGAGCGCACCCCUGAUAAGGGUGAGGUCCCUGGUUCAAGUCCAGGAUGGCCCAUAUCUCUAUGUUGGGGGUAUAGCUCAGUUGGUAGAGCGCCUGCUUUGCAAGCAGGAUGUCAGCGGUUCGAGUCCGCUUACCUCCACUGAUUACCACCUCUUCCAUAUUCUGUAGAAAGGGAAAUUUUGUGUUGCGAUCGUAAUUCUGAACGAAUCUAGCUUCCUAAUGAAAUCAUUAAGAUGCUGGACUCAUUGAAUUAAUUUCAUUGUUUUCAGAGAACCUUGACAACUGCAUAGAUUAUUUUUAAAGACAAUAAGCAUCUUUAGUGAUGCAGAUUUAUUAUUUGUGCAAAUGCAUUAAUAACAAUUCUAUUAAGCUGAUGCUUCAAUUAUGAAGUUAUU
rnacentral:tRNA from 1 species